rnacentral:rRNA from 1 species
CCUGGGGAACUGAAACAUCUAAGUACCCGGAGGAAGAGAAAUCAAACGAGAUGCCCACAGUAGCGGCGAGCGAAGAGGGCAGAGCCCAAACCGAGAAGCUCCGGCUUUUCGGGGUUGAGGACCGGCAGAAUCGAAGUCAGGCCUAGUUGAAUUACCUGGAAAGGUAAGCGAGAGAGGGUAAAAGCCCCGUAGACGAAAGGCAGAGCAGAGAGGCCGAGAUCCAGAGUACCACGAAGCACGAGGAAUUUUGUGGGAAGCAGGGGGGACCACCCUCCAAGGCUAAAAACUACUUGGCGACCGAUAGCGCAUAGUACCGUGAGGGAAAGGUGAAAAGAACCCCGGGAGGGGAGUGAAAUAGUACCUGAAACCGUAUGUCUACAAGCAGUCGAAGCGAAAGCGACGGCGUGCCUAUUGAAGAAUGAACCAACGAGUUAUCUGCACUAGCGAGGUUAAGUGGAAGACACGGAGCCGCAGCGAAAGCGAGUCUUAAGAGGGCGCUAGUUAGUGUAGGUAGACCCGAAACCGCAGUGAUCUACCCAUGUCCAGGUUGAAGCGCAGGUAAAAUUGCGUGGAGGACCGAACCGGUGAGCGUUGAAAAGCUUUCGGAUGAGAUGUGGGUAGGGGUGAAAUUCCAAUCGAACGCGGAGAUAGCUGGUUCUCCCCGAAAUAGCUUUAGGGCUAGCCUGAGGUAGUAAGUAUAGGCGGUAGAGCACUGAUCGGGCUAGGGGCCGUAAAGGUUACCGAACCCUGUCAAACUCCGAAUGGAUAUACUGUAGAGCCUUGGAGUCAGACUACGAGUGAUAAGAUCCGUGGUCAAAAGGGAAACAGCCCAGACCACCAGCUAAGGUCCCCAAUGUCGUACUAAGUGGAAAAGGAUGUGGGGUUUCAUAAACAACCAGGAUGUUGGCUCAGAAGCAGCCACCAUUUAAAGAGUGCGUAAUAGCUCACUGGUCGAGAGACCCUGCGCCGAAGAUUCCCGGGGCUAAAGUACGAAACCGAAGCUGUGGCUGUAUACGUAAAGUAUACGGGGUAGGGGAGCGUUCCCAUAGGGUAGAAGUCGAACUGGAAGGUUCGGUGGACUUGUGGGAAGUGAGAAUGUUGGUAUGAGUAGCGAAAAGAAAGGUGAGAAUCCUUUCCACCGAAAGCAUAAGGAUUCCUGAGCAACGAUCGUCGUCUCAGGGUAAGUCGGGACCUAAUCCGAGGCAGAGAGCGUAGGAGAUGGACAACUGGUUGAUAUUCCAGUACCGGUAGUAAUUGUUUGAGCAAUGGAGUGACACAGAAGGGCAGGCAAGCAUGCGAAUGGAAGAGCAUGUGUAAGCGUGUAGGGUGGUGCAUAGGCAAAUCCGUGCACUGAAAGCCUGAGGCGUGAUGCGGAGUGAGCAGAGAUGCGAGCGAAGUUGUUGACCCCACACUGUCGAGAAAAGCUUCUAGUGAGAGAGCUACCGCCCGUACCGUAAACCGACACAGGUAUGCGGGGAGAGAAUCCUAAGGUGCGCGGGAGAACCCUCGUUAAGGAACUCGGCAAAAUGUACCCGUAACUUCGGGAUAAGGGUAGCCACUGUUGUGAAGUCCCAUGCGGAUGGAGCAUAGAGUGGUCGCAGAGAAGAGGCCCAAGCGACUGUUUACCAUAAACACAGGUGCCUGCUAAAGCGAAAGCUGACGUAUAGGUGCUGACACCUGCCCAGUGCCGGAAGGUUAAGGAAGGAUGUUCGGAUUAGUCCAAAGCAUUCGACUGAAGCCCCGGUGAACGGCGGCCGUAACUAUAACGGUCCUAAGGUAGCGAAAUUCCUUGUCGGGUAAGUUCCGACCCGCACGAAAGGUGUAACGAUUUGGGCACUGUCUCAACGAGGGACCCGGUGAAAUUGAAAUACCUGUGAAGAUGCAGGUUACCCGCGACUGGACAGAAAGACCCCAUGGAGCUUUACUGUAACCUGACAUUGGGUUUUGAUACAUUACGUACAGGAUAGGUGGGAGGCUUGGAAAGCUGGACGCUAGUCUGGCUGGAGCCGACGUUGGGAUACCACCCUUGAUGUAUUGAAAUUCUAACCGCGAGAGUAACGAAAUCCGGGACAGUGUCAGGCGGGCAGUUUGACUGGGGCGGUCGCCUCCGAAAGAGUAACGGAGG